rnacentral:tRNA from 1 species
UUAUAAGAAUCUAAAAUUUAGUAUUUAAUUUCGACUUAAAAAUAGAGAAUAAUCUCCUUAUUUA